rnacentral:rRNA from 1 species
UGGGGAAUUUUGGACAAUGGGGGCAACCCUGAUCCAGCCAUGCCGCGUGCGGGAAGAAGGCCUUCGGGUUGUAAACCGCUUUUAGUCGGGAAGAAAAGGCACGGGUGAAUACCCCGUGUUUUUGACGGUACCGGCGGAAUAAGCACCGGCUAACUACGUGCCAGCAGCCGCGGUAAUACGUAGGGUGCGAGCGUUAAUCGGAAUUACUGGGCGUAAAGCGUGCGCAGGCGGUUCGUCGUGUCUGAUGUGAAAGCCCCGGGCUCAACCUGGGAAUGGCAUUGGAAACUGGCGGACUAGAGUGUGGCAGAGGGGGGUGGAAUUCCGCGUGUAGCAGUGAAAUGCGUAGAGAUGCGGAGGAACACCGAUGGCGAAGGCAGCCCCCUGGGCUAACACUGACGCUCAGGCACGAAAGCGUGGGGAGCAAACAG